GCUGCCAUUAUAUACUAACCUACUAGUAGAGAGCUAUGGGGACAAGGGAGAAAUAAUCCCCAAGCACUUAGGCACCUUGGGGGCCCACAAAGCAGAGGCCAGAGGAAGGCCUCAGGCAAUGAUGUAUAUGUUUGUAGUGGGCAGUGAGCCCUGGCACAGUCAGCAUGGGGAAGUCCAUCUGCCAGGAGGCAGCUCAAGGAGAGAAGAAAGCCUGUAAAAACCCACCAAUGUGGCCAAGAUGAGCCCAGUAGAGACAAUGAAGGGCUGGGUAGGGUGGAAGGAUCUGUAGCCUGGGGCUCAGAGGGCCAGGACAAGUGUCUGUGUGUGUAGGGUGCUGUUGGAAGAGUGGACUGCCAGUUCCCUAGGGGGCCCAGCCAGGCCAUGCCUGGCCCCUCUUACUGUAGUCAUGCACAGUUGCCCGCACAAAGCUGCCGUUGGCCUGGACCAAGGUCUCGUUGGGUGAGUGUUCCACACGAAAUGUCUGGAGGGCCCAGGCAUCCCCAGGGAGUAGUGUACUUGUGUAUCGCCUCAGGAGCUCCCCAGAUGCUGGUACCACGUCCGCGUCAAAGACAUGUAUUGUGGCCACCACAGUGCCCUGCAGACAACAGGAUGCCAGUCAGAGCUGGUGAGAGGGACCCCUCAGAGACCCUGGAGCCUGAGACUUCAGAAGGGCACAUGCCCCACAGCCCAUCCACCAAACCAGCACCCGGGGUGCGUGGAGAGGCAGGCAGAAAGCCCCAAGAAAGCCCUGGGCCGACAAAUGAAAGACACAUAUCUGGAAGGAUGGUCAGCCACGUGGCGAUGGCGAGACGGACACCUGAACGGAUCAAGAAUAAAUGGUGGACGGAGUGGCAGAUACCCCACAGAUGGACGACAGACAAGACACAAGCACAGGCGUGGCAGACAGGCACCUCCUUCCUCUUGAACUCCACCACGGCGCUGGCAGUGUCGAAGCCCCCGAGGAAGCUCACGGUCCAGGGCCCAGCGUGUGCUCACCUCCAGGCUGUCCGGGGCGCAACGGAAGGGCAGAUUCUCACCUACACACCAAGCAGACCAGGAACCCCAACAUGACUUCCCUCCAGGAAUCAGGUUUCCUCACCAGAAGACAGGAUAGAUGAAGGAGCAUGCCUGCUCCUCUCACUAGGCAUUGCCAUAUGGUCAGUGAUUCGUGUAUCUUCCCACAACCUGGUGAGGGGAGGACCAGUCAUGAUAGCACACUCUUCAACCCAAGCCUGUCCUGAAAUUCAUCCUUCAGGAAUAACUCAUCCUUCAGGAAAAAGGGGGAAAUGCUGAGGGCUUGAAGGUCCACACUGACCACCCUCACAGCCAAGCAUGGAGGGUUACGUCAGCUCCACUGCAUGGGAGAACAAGCAUCCCUCGGUCCCUCACGUCAGAGCCACAUAUUAUAUAUGAAUUACACCUGGGAAAUGCUUAUCAUAUGUUUCUCUCUGUUGUUUAUGGUUACAAAACACAUGCUCAACAAAAUUUAAUUAUGUAAUCUUCAUGAGGAAGGGCAGCCUGCUAAACCUGAUGUGUGGCUGACAACCUUGCACAAAGACAUUUAGCCCAGCUGCAGGGCAAAUGGAAGGAGGCUGGGGGAGUGGCUGGCUCCUUUCCUUACCUUACUGAGAUCUGCUUUAACAUCAUUGCCGUGUGUAUGCAAUUAAA